rnacentral:rRNA from 1 species
CCUGAAAGUGGCGAACGGGUGAGUAACACGUAGGUGACCUACCCCAAAGAAGGGGAUAACUACUGGAAACGGUGGCUAAAACCCUAUGGUUCUGACGACUGUGGAGGUUGUCAGAUAAAGACUCCGGUGCUUUGGGAGGGGCCUGCGUCCGAUUAGGUAGUUGGUGGGGUAAAGGCCUACCAAGCCGAUGAUCGGUAGCUGGUCUGAGAGGACGAUCAGCCACACUGGAACUGAGAGACGGUCCAGACUCCUACGGGGGGCAGCAGUGAGGAAUAUUGCACAAUGGGGGCAACCCUGAUGCAGCAACGCCGCGUGGAGGAUGAAGGCCUUCGGGUCGUAAACUCCUUUUCUGGGGGAAGAGGAAGGACGGUACCCCAGGAAUAAGUCACGGCUAACUACGUGCCAGCAGCCGCGGUAAUACGUAGGUGGCAAGCGUUAUCCGGAAUUACUGGGCGUAAAGCGCGCGCAGGCGGCCGAAUAAGUCUGACGUGAAAGCUCCUGGCUUAACUGGGAGAGGUCGUUGGAAACUGUUUGGCUUGAGGCAGUGAGAGGGGUGCAGAAUUCCCGGUGUAGUGGUGGAAUGCGUAGAUAUCGGGAGGAAUACCAGUGGCGAAAGCGGCACCCUGGCACUGAACUGACGCUCAUGUGCGAAAGCGUGGGUAGCGAACGGGAUUAGAUACCCCGGUAGUCCACGCUGUAAACGAUGAGUACUAGGUGUAGGCGGUAUCGACCCCGUCUGUGCCGAAGCAAACGCGAUAAGUACUCCGCCUGGGGACUACGGCCGCAAGGUUAAAACUCAAAGGAAUUGACGGGGACCCGCACAAGCAGCGG